GAUGAACGCUGGCGGCGUGCCUAAUACAUGCAAGUCGAGCGAACGGACGAGAAGCUUGCUUCUCUGAUGUUAGCGGCGGACGGGUGAGUAACACGUGGAUAACCUACCUAUAAGACUGGGAUAACUUCGGAAAACCGGAUCUAAUACCGGAUAAUAUUUUGAACCGCAUGGUUCAAAAGUGAAAGACGGUCUUGCUGUCACUUCUAGAUGGAUCCGCGCUGCAUUAGCUAGUUGGUAAGGUAACGGCUUACCAAGGCAACGAUGCAUAGCCGACCUGAGAGGGUGAUAGGCCACACUGGAACUGAGACACGGUCCAGACUCCUACGGGAGGCAGCAGUAGGGAAUCUUCCGCAAUGGGCGAAAGCCUGACGGAGCAACGCCGCGUGAGUGAUGAAGGUCUUCGGAUCGUAAAACUCUGUUAUUAGGGAAGAACAUAUGUGUAAGUAAAUGUGCACAUCUUGACGGUACCUAAUCAGAAAGCCACGGCUAACUACGUG
rnacentral:rRNA from 1 species